AUAUACAGACAUAUUACCCUGAAUGUGCCUGAUCUCAUCUGAUCUCAGCUAAUCAGGGUGAGGCCUGGCAGUACUUGGAUGAGAGACUGCCUGGGAAUACUGACUGCCGUGGGUU
rnacentral:rRNA from 1 species